rnacentral:rRNA from 1 species
GACGAAGGAUGCAAGCGUUAUCCGGAUUCAUUGGGUUUAAAGGGAGCGUAGGUGGCCUUAUAAGUCAGUGGUGAAAUCUCUGGGCUUAACCCAGAAAUUGCCAUUGAUACUGUAGGGCUUGAGUAUAGAUGCCGUUGGCGGAAUAUGACAUGUAGUGGUGAAAUGCGUAGAGAUCCGGAGGAACCCCAGAGGCGAAGGCGGCAGCCUGGUUCGUACCUGACGCUCGGACACGACAGCAUGGGGAGCGAACGGG